ensembl:lncRNA
UGUCAAUGGAAAAUUGUACUUAGUAGUCAGUAUAAGCUUUUAAUGAUAUAAGUUUGCAUAUGAUAGAAUACUGUAUGAUGACCUUUUGAUGACUUAGACUGCUGUCCACUACAGGACUGUUUUAUGAAUUCUUUCUCACAGCGAUAAUAGCUGUUAUUAUUUCACUCCUGCCAGGAAGAGGCGAACUGGACACUCUUAUCUGACGCUCCCUAACAAGAAGAGAGGCCGCGUCUUUCUGUAUCCCACAACACACAUGCAUACACCUAAACCGCUCUUAUCUUCACUCCCUACGCACUAACUUUCCUCUGCCUAUGAAUAGACGUAUUCACUGUUGUAUUAUUUUUGCAUAUAAAUAAAGACAAGUGCAAGAACAGAGCGCGCAUCACAGGGCCCCCACUCUGGUGUGAGCGUUCUGUGACCGCCCUUGUAUACAAGUGAAAACCACAGCGUCUGUGUGUGUCUCUUCACUCUUAGACUCUCAGCUGAAGAAGUGUCAUUUAGAAUAAAUCUCUUGACAUUUAUUUUGGUCCUUCGAGCCGGAUCAAAAAUAUCAGAACUGUUAUCUGUGACUCUGUUCCAGGAUCUGGCAUACUGUUUCCUGACGCCGUGGAGCCGGCACCGAAGUCUGUGCACAGCCCUCUUAGACGAGGCCGAAAGCCCUGGAACGCUAAAAUUCGGGUCCAGGCCGGUGUUUUUAGUCUGGUCCAUGGCGGCGGGAUUCAGUCUGACGAUCCGAAUCACCAGUGAGACGUCUGAGAGGUGAGAAACACUACUUUGGUUAGGAAUCGCCAUAAUGAACCGACAAAUAAAAUAGGUUAGGAAUCGCCUUAAUGAACCGACAAAUAAAAUAGGUUAGGAAUCGCCUUAAUGAACCGACAAAUAAAAUAGGUUAGGAAUCGCCUUAAUGAACCGACAAAUAAAAAAGGUUAGGAAUCGCCAUAAUGAACCGACAAAUAAAAUAGGUUAGGAAUCGCCUUAAUGAACCGACAAAUAAAAAAGGUUAGGAAUCGCCAUAAUGAACCGACAAAUAAAAUAGGUUAGGAAUCGCCAUAAGGAACCGAAUUAGACCUAGGUUUUAGAGGUAGCCGUAAUUACUUCGUAACAAAUUGUAAAAGCGCGCAAAUGUCUAUGUGUGUGUAUGUGUCUAGAAGUAAGUUGAUUUUACAGCACAAUACGCUGCUGAACUACUUCUAUUUUAUUUGUUUUCUUUGCUGAGGCUCACGUACUGGUGACAAAUGAGAACGGUUGAGUUUUAUCUCGUAAAACUGAUACCGCUUCAUUUUUUAGAAGUGAAGUAGAAGGGCGUAUCAGCAACCACUCUGAAGUCAAGCGUGCCAGUGACAGCCCAGCAAAAUCUUUGACAAUGGGGAAUAAACAAGCAAAAUUAACACCUGAUGAGGAAUGUUUAGGAAAACAACACACCAACCAGUAAUUAUAGAGAGGAAUGCAUAGGGGAAGAGCAAGAGGUAGAGACAGACCUAGAUACACACCAAACAGUAAUUAUAGCACUACAUGCUGGAAGUGUGGAAAAGAGGGACAUUUUGCACGUGACUGUAAGAAACAAAGAAGACAGGGACUCAGAACAGGGUAGUAGCUCAGGUGAAGAGAACAGUUCAGAUUAGGAAGAACAUAAUAAUCCCUCACCAAGUAAAAUUAGAGAUCCAAGUAUAAGUUUAAAAAGGGCUGGAAACAGACCCAACUGAAUGCAUAUAAAUGCAAGAGGAAUAAAGUUAAAUAAAACAACUGUAAUGUAUUCAAGUUGAUAAAAGCAAGGAUAACAACCUGUAAACUGGUAUGAACAAUGAAACAUAGUUAGGAUGAAGACCAUGCCCAGACUGAAUAGAACGAAAGAAAAUACAUAACUCACACAAACACAUAUUAAAUGAAAUAGAGAGAUGCAUAAGGUAUAUUAAGGUUGUGUCAUUGUUCAGCCAAGGAAAGUGUGUGAAAAGGAAAAUGUCUCCAGCUUGGGAAAGGGUGAGACUGCAGCUCACCCUCAGCCCUUGGUGGACACAAAUAAAAUAUAAAUAAAAUAUUGAAUAUACUAUUGCUGUUAUAUAAAAGAUAAUAACAUUAAUAAUGAAAUAAUAUUAAUAUGAAGAGGCACCUCAGUCAGUUAUGAUGUGAGGUGGAUAAUUGUUAGAAGUAAUCUGCAUCAAGCUUAAGGUUGCUCAAAUUCAGUAUAAUGACAUAUGAAAUGAAGAAAGUAAAGAAAAUAUCUAAACUACUUAAGUGCAUAGAGGCACUUGACCUGCUCGAAAACCUGUCAUCCUAGAUGAGACAUUGCUGAAAUAUAGAGCACACCUAUACUAACAACUAAAAACCCUGUAUACAACAGCUAAAGCUACACAAUUGAGAAGCUGAAUUAAAUAUAUGGUCACUGCUAAGCUGAUGAGCAGGUUACACAUUUUUUUUUUUUAGAGCAGGAGCUGCAUAAGAACACAUCAGGGGGAGGGAAACAGCUAUUAAAGCUCAAACAUGAAGCUGUCUGUGGGCUCAGUUUUUUUCCCUCACGCUUCUGAUUUGUCUUUGGCAGCAGCCUUUUUGCAUCCUGACUCGUGUGUAAAGCGUUCAAGCCAUCGGUAACUUGUUUUUGUUUUGUUUUGUUUUUGUUUUGUUGGGUUGAAAAUGAAUAAAUUUGUGAUCAUACUUGUGGAUCACAGUGGCACAUAAUGAUUAGGCAUAUGAUUUACUAAUGCAGAUGUAAUAACUUUAUUCUAAAAUUCAGGGAGAACAAACAAGAACAACAUCUUCAGUUGUGUAUUGUUGUUGUUCUCUGUGUAGUGUGCUGAAUUUUGUUUUUUGUUUCUUUUGUUUUUUGAAAUGUUGCUUGAGUGAUGAGUACUGUAACUUCUGUUCAGAGCCAGCUGAGAGCUGGGUUGUCUGUUUUGUUUUAGGUGACAAGCCAGAAAAGUUAAAACUUAGUUUCUUGUUUUGAAAAAGAAAAAAGGGAAAAAAGGGAGGUUUUGUGUUUCUCAGCAAAGAACAACUACAAUUUCAUUUUCUGUUUUUGAGAAAGGAGAAUUUAUAACAAUAAUAAUAAUAAUAAUAAAACAAAGAGUGAUGUUUUGUUUAAGUGGUGAAGACAGCUAAUACUGCAAAAUACCAUUUAGUGAAUGAUCUGCGAGCAAUAAAUGAAAUCAUCUUAUUUAUCUUUGAAUAAACUCCAAUUAUGGAGACCUGAAGUCACAUGCUUAGGGCACACUCUCAGGUGAAGGCAGAAAGCUACUAAACAACGAAAAGAAGCUAUACAAAAUGCGCCACAGCCACAAACUAAGCAUUCAUAUUCUUUCUAACUCUUAGUGAGCCUGAGUUAUGACCUUGGCUCCCUGUUUUUCUGCUUCCACCAAAGGUGGGGGUGAUGCUCCCGUGGCAUGUGCUCUGUUCUUUUUACUAUCACAAAGAGGAAAAAAAGAGAGAGAGACCCCUACUCUCUGAAUACAAUAUUCUCUUCAUAACUCGGCAGUAUGAAAUGUCAUGAAACAGUGUAACUCACUCACAGUAAAUCAGCAGUAUAGGAUAAUACAAACCUAUCUAAUAAAUCUAAUGAUUUUCACAUUCUUUUAACUCAGAAGUAUGAUGUGGCCUACAGCAGUAUCAUGAUUCACUCAUUUUGAUUAUAGGUAUAAUGUAAUAUAUAACAGCAUAAUAAUCUCACAACUGCUACAAGCACAUUUGCCUUUCUUAACACACGCGAGAGAAAGGCAACUGUUGAGAAAAUGCUCUUUUGGGUGAGACAGGCCCAGAGGCCUUGCAUGCAAGCUACUAAUACACAUACAUGCAAUGAAGAACAGCUUACACUACAGCACACACUAUACAUGUGCCUAUAUCCCUCAUUAGUGUUAAAACAGGGAAAACUUAAUAGUUUUGUUAUCAAAUGCUGAAGUUUAUCCACUACUAACAAAUAAACUCUCUGGGUUGCAGGACAACAACUUCAAAAAGAACGACACUGGUAUGACCAACCAGUGAUGAAACAACAAAUUUAGUGGUUAAGAGUCAAAUGGUGAGAUGUUUUCUGCUGAUUGAAUCAUGCAAGUGAUUACUGAAGGAAGGAAAAUUCCUUUUUUGUGCCUUUAAACGUGAUCUUACGAAUUUUAAUAUCUACCUGUGUUGUCCUGUCACCUUGGUGGGUUAUGAGUUAAUUAUAUUGUGAGGAAAAACAAAAAAGGGGGAGAGAAGGCUGACACAGGGCCUGGCCCGGUGUUUCUCCCCUCUGAAUAACACAGCCAAUACAACAUCAUUUUCCUGUUCGUCUGUUUUGUUUUGUUUUUGUUUUUUCUCUUUAUGUUUAAUUACAGGCUGCUUUGCCGGUCCUGAAAGCCGAAGCUGACCUGGACUCCUGCUCUCCCCUCUACCAUCUCUGACCCUGACCAAAUGCUGCAGCAGCUGGACCCAUAACAACAAUCUAAAAAUGUCAACAGUGCUACAGGAAAGCGAUCUCAUGCAGCAGAGACGGAGACCGUUAAAUCCAAGGCCCGUUUCACUACACGGGGGAGAUUUCCAGACAGCUUCAGCUGACAGAGCUGUGACGAGACGCCCAUUAAGCCCGAAUGAAAAGUAAGGCCGAGCAAAAGAAUGCUGACCUUGAUAACUUUGCAUUUAACACUGUGCAGGACAGUGAUGGACCAACACGGAUGAUCGGGCAGCAGAAGAAAGGGCGUGCCAGAGACAGGAGGAGCAACUGAGGUCAAAAGGCACCUCAGAAUGGACAAAACACAGAAGAAGAUGCAGGUUUCACCUGCGGUGAGCAUGGACACUGGAGAAAGGACUGCCCCAAUUGGGGCCAAGACCAGGACAGACUGAACUUUGAGCAGCAGCAGCAGCAGCAAUGGUCGCAACCGGACUGAAAAGGAGGAGGGCAGGACCCCAGGGCACGCUUCAGGCCGUGGUUUACCCAAAACACCAGAACAGGAAAGUGAUAAACACGCCAACAUACACAAACAUACACAUCUACACACACUGACUCAAAAUGAAGAGAAACACACACCUGAACAGACGUGCACUUGUUGAUUGAGUGAGAAAUGACACACACACACAUCAGACAAUGUACACUCAUCAAACAUGACUGACGCCCUGAACGCCUUGAGACAGAUCCAGCAGGCCCAAAAUCAGGACUAUGUAAAUAAUACAAGUGACUGCUAAAAAGACUACUACUGCCUUUUCACUGUGCAAUACUUUUUGUUAAAAACCAACGGUGCAAUAGACUUCAAUACUUGAAAUACUUGAAAUACUUGAAAUACUUGCAAUUCCUUUGUAUUCUUAUUCUUAUUUAUUCUAUUUAUCCCUUUUUGUAUUUUUACUUUUAUUUUGUGUUUUUAUAACAUGUAUCCUGCCAUGUCUAAAACUCAUGAUUAACCGCAUAAUUGUUUCCACUGUUGCUGCAUACAUAGCCGUGACAAAUGAUGAUGAUGACCCCGACCUGUUGGAGCAUGAAGACUUUGUGUGAUUAAUGAUGGUGUGAUAGAAAAUGUACUACAAGAUGUUACAUACUGAUAUCUCACUUCAAAGUUAUACUGACAACAGGAGGGAAUGUCAAUGGAAAAUUGUACUUAGUAGUCAGUAUAAGCUUUUAAUGAUAUAAGUUUGCAUAUGAUAGAAUACUGUAUGAUGACCUUUUGAUGACUUAGACUGUUGUCCACUACAGGACUGUUUUAUGAAUUCUUUCUCACAGCGAUAAUAGCUGUUAUUAUUUCACUCCUGCCAGGAAGAGGCGAACUGGACACUCUUAUCUGACGCUCCCUAACAAGAAGAGAGGCCGCGUCUUUCUGUAUCCCACAACACACAUGCAUACACCUAAACCACUCUUAUCUUCACUCCCUACGCACUAACUUUCCUCUGCCUAUGAAUAGACGUAUUCACUGUUGUAUUAUUUUUGCAUAUAAAUAAAGACAAGUGCAAGAACAGAGCGCGCAUCACAGGGCCCCCACUCUGGUGUGAGUGUUCUGUGACCGCCCUUGUAUACAAGUGAAA